GUGUCUUCCAGCAUCAAUGCACUGGCUGCAGUGACAGUGGAGGACCUGAUCAAACCGUACACUAACAUGUCUGAGAAACAGUUGGCCCGCACCUCUAAAGGACUGAGUCUUGUAUAUGGGGCAUUGGAAUGGCUGGACUGGCUUCAGUGAUUGGAGAGGUUUUACAGGCAGCCAUCAGUAUAUUUGGGAUCAUCGGUGGAACUUUACUUGGUCUGUUCACACUGGG